UACGUAGGGUGCAAGCGUUGUCCGGAAUUAUUGGGCGUAAAGGGCUCGUAGGCGGUCUGUCGCGUCGGCUGUGAAAACCCGGAGCUCAACUCCGGGCCUGCAGUCGAUACGGGCAAACUGGAGUGUUGCAGGGGAGACUGGAAUUCCUGGUGUAGCGGUGAAAUUCGUAGAUAUCAAGCGGAACACCGGUGGCGAAGGCGGCCUUCUGGACAGUAACUGACGCUGAGACGCGAAAGCGUGGGGAGCAAACAGG
rnacentral:rRNA from 1 species